rnacentral:misc_RNA from 1 species
GCAAACUUGGUCAUUUAGAGGAAGUAAAAGUCGUAACAAGGUUUCCGUAGGUGAACCUGCGGAAGGAUCAUUACCAAAUCUUGUGCACCUUCUUGUAGUGGACCAUUGCCCACCAACAUCUGCAUCCUGGAUGCUGGUGGGGCCCUUUGGUCUGCUACGUCUUUCAAUCAUUAAACCUGUCUGUCAGCUUAUGUUGGGGUAAAAGCACCCUUUUGUUGCUUUGCCCCUUAAAUGUGUAAAUAUUGACAUAACUUUCAACAACGGAUCUCUUGGCUCUCGCAUCGAUGAAGAACGCAGC